UAGCAUUAAAGGCCUUUUAUUGAUAAGUGUACUAUAAAGAUACGGUUAACUGCGUACAUUUGAUGAUACUACCAAUUUCAGUUGAUGUCGUUAUUUUUGUUUUGUUCAGAUAAUAAUAAUAAGUUUUUACUUUUGUUUUACAGGAGGAACCAAUCGGUAUGUAUGUUCAUGUUUGUAAAACCUUAGUUGUACGGAAUGCAUUGUUGUAUUUUUAAGAAGUACACGUUACAAUAACGACGCAUGUGUACAUAGCUUGCGCAAACUAAAGUUUCUUUAUCUUAAGGGAAUCCUCCGGCUACGACACUUUAGAAAAUGAGCAAGUCCAUGAUAUAUCUACUAUGGACGAUAGAGCAGUGACAGAUGGCAAUCGAGGAUAUGAGGUGGUUACCACUUCAUUUAGAGUCUGAAUCGCCAACGAUGUCCCCUUAAAAUCACGUUGAAGUCGAGUCUUCAGAACCAUUUACAAUUGAAAUGUCUAAGGGAAUCUGUAAUAAAACACGUGUACGCGACCUUUUUAAAUAUUUCGUUCACAAUGAAGACUCGUAAAUCAAGAACAAUCUUAUGAAUUCCAAUAAAACAUGCGUUAACCA